rnacentral:rRNA from 1 species
UACGUAGGGUGUAAGCGUUAAUCGGAAUUACUGGGCGUAAAGCGUGCGCAGGCGGUUCGUUGUGUCGGUGGUGAAAUCCCCGGGCUUAACCUGGGAAUGGCCAUGGAAACUGGCGAACUGGAGUGCGGCAGAGGGGGGUGGAAUUCCGCGUGUAGCAGUGAAAUGCGUAGAGAUGCGGAGGAACACCGAUGGCGAAGGCAGCCCCCUGGGCUAGCACUGACGCUCAGGCACGAAAGCGUGGGGAGCAAACAGG